rnacentral:rRNA from 1 species
AUCCUCCUACGGGACGCAGCAGUGAGGAAUAUUGGUCAAUGGCCGAGAGGCUGAACCAGCCAAGUCGCGUGAGGGAUGACGGCCCUACGGGUUGUAAACCUCUUUUGUCGGGGAGCAAAGAGAGUCACGUGUGGCUCAUUGAGAGUACCCGAAGAAAAAGCAUCGGCUAACUCCGUGCCAGCAGCCGCGGUAAUACGGAGGAUGCGAGCGUUAUCCGGAUUUAUUGGGUUUAAAGGGUGCGCAGGCGGAGGUGCAAGUCAGUGGUCAAAUUGCGGGGCUCAACCCCGUACUGCCGUUGAAACUGC